GCGGAGGGGAUGGGCCCAGGAGGAGGUAUUCGGCGGGAGCCGGCGCCGGGCGAUCGCUUCCAGCCCCCUGAGCCCUCUCCCUCAAGGGAAGGGCACACUCACUGACCCUCCGGAGCCUCCAAAACAGAAGUCACUGAAACCUGCAUCUUCCUUCUCUGCCCCCCUCGCCCUCUCCCUCCUGCAGGAGAAACUUUGCCCCCACCUCCAGGUGAGAUACUUGUUCAUGACUGAAGGUAUUUUUGCUUGUCACAACUCGUGGGGUACUGCUGUUGGCAGGGGCCAGAGAUGCAGCUGAAUAUACUACAGUACACUGUAGUGUUGGAGAAGACUCUUGAGAGUCCCUUGGACUGCAAGGAGAUCCAACCAGUCCAUCCUAAAGGAGAUCAGUCCUGGGUGUUCAUUGGAAGGACUGAUGCUGAGGCUGAAACUCCAAUACUUUGGCCACCUGAUGCGAAGAACUGACUCCUUAGAAAAGACCCUGAUGCUGGGAAAGAUGGAAGGCAGGGGAAGAAGGGGAAGACAGAGGAUAAGAUGGUUAGAUGACAUCACCGACUCGAUGGACAUGAGUUUGAAUAAGCCCUGGGAGUUGGUGAUGGACAGGGAAGCCUGGUGUGCUGCAGUCCAUGGGGUCGCAGAGAGUCAGACAUGACCGAGUGACUGAACUGAAAUGAACGCAGAACAGCCCCUGCAACAAAGAAUUAUCUGGCCCCGAAUUUUAAUAGUACCAAGACAGAGAAUCCCCACCCUAAAAAUACCCCAAGAUCUGAGUAAAAAACAGUUAUAAUUGUUAAAGUAACUCUAAAAAGGAAAUGAUAAAUUAUACAAAAGAGGAUAUUCUAAAAAAAUUUUAGAAUUAAAAAAAGAUUAAAAUUAGAGUUUUUUAAAUAUUGAAAGACGUAGAGACAAUUAGGGGAAAAGGACAAUGUCCAAAGACUAAUUGAACAGGCCAUGCAUAAUACAAGAGCAUAUGCUUAAAAUAAAAUGCUAAUUUAAAAUAGAUUAAAGAAAUGCGUGUGCAUGAGGUAACUCAGAAGAAACUGGUGAGAGUUACUUCCUUUCAACUUAUUUUCAUCUUUUCCAAUGCUCAGUGAACAGACUUCCCACUGAUUUCAAAGAAUAUUUUGGUUUUGAGAUUAGCUUUAUGGAAGCUAAAAAUUGGUCUUUAAAAACCAUUAACUCCUGGUCCUGUAGAUUUUGAAAUUCUUUAAAUAAAAGAACAUGCUACUAAACAGCACGUGCAGUGCAGUGCUCAUUCACUAAGUCAUGUCUGACUCUUUGUGACCCCCAUGGAUUUUAGCCUGCCAGGCUCCUCAGCCCACAGGGUUUUCCAGGCAAGAAAACUGGAGCGGCCUGCCAUUUUCUCCUCCAGGGGAUCUUCCCGACCCAGUGAUCAAACCCCCAUCUCCUACACUGGCAGGUGGAUUCUUUACCGCUGAGCCGCCUGGUAGACAACAGUGAUAGUUAGGGGAAUGAUGGGGCUUCUGUGGGUACUCAAAUGGUAAAGAAUCUGCCUGCAAUGCAGGAGACCCAAGUUCCAUCCCUGGUCAAGGAAAUGGCUACCCACUCCAGUAUUAUUGCCUCGGAAAUCCCACGGUCAGAGGAGCCUAGGCAGGCUACAGUCCAUGGUGUUGCAAAAGAGUCGGACACAGCUUAACAACUAAACUACAAGAACAACAAAUAAGUAAAGAUUAAUAGAAACUUUAGCUCAAAAAAACAACCUUUCAUUUGUUAAAAGUUAUUGAUAGGGAGACUUCCCUGGUGGCCUCGUGGGUAAGACUCCACUCUCACCAUGCAGGGGGUCACAAAGAGUUGGACAUGGCAGAGCAACUUUUACUUCACUUCAUGGGAAUGAUACCUAUUCCCAUAUUUUUAGGAGAGGUGUUUGUGAUGAUUAAAAAAAAAAAAAUCUGACUAGUAUAGGAAAGUGUUAUCCUAAUACAAUUAGUUUAAAACCAGAAACAAAAGGAAAAAAAAAAAAAAAAACCUCAGUCAUUAAAAAGGUCAUAUUAGUAAUUCUUAGACAAAAAGAAAAUAUUUAAUAUGAUAUAAGUUGCUUUUUUCAAAUCCUAUCAUUUGUGUGUGAAGAGGAUCAAAAUAUGCCACCCCAAAAUAUGUUUCUUUGGCAUACGGAUGAUCUUGAGCUGGUUAUUUUUAAGAAACAGCAGACGCAGGAAAAACUCUGAAAACCAAGUUGUUCUUUGUAAGGUACAUUUACAUUUAUAAGGGAAAUCAUAUUUAAACAUGUUUCCCUCUCUGUGGGCUUCCCUGGUGGCUCCUCUUCCCUGGUGGCUUCCCUGGUAAGAAUCUGCCUACAAUGCAGGAGACCCAGGUUUGAUCCCUAGGUUGGGAAGAUGCCCUGAAGAAGGGAAUGGCAACCCUCUCCAGUAUUCUUGCCUGGAGAAUUCCAUGGACAGAGGAGCCUGACGGGCUACAAUUCAUGGGGUUGUGAAGAAUCAGCCACGACUGAGCAACUAACACUUUCACUUUUCCUUCUCUGUAGUAGGAAGAGAAGAAGGAUUCUAAAUCUCUAGAAACUCUUGUCAAUGAAGAAGGUGAUGAUCGGAAUCUGUAAAACAAAUUUACCCUGUUCACUAUGCUUUCCCCAUAACUGUACUCUCCCCUACCCACACACAUCUCUCUUUUGUCUUUAGUUGAAGAUGGUACUUAAGGUGGUGGAUUGGGCCAUUUCAAGAAGUUACUCAGUUUUCUUGGAUAUCUUAAAUGUACACGAGAGGUAUUUUGUUGUUAUUUGUUAGUCGCUCUGUCGUGUCCAACUCUUUGUGACCCUAUGGACUGUAGCCCACCAGGCUCCUCUGUCCAUGGGAUUUUCCAGGCAAGAGUACUGGAAUGGGUUGUCAUUUACUCCUCCAGGGGAUCUUCCCAACUCAGGGAUCAAAUCUGACUGUCUUAAGUCUCUUGCAUUGGCAGGCAGAUUCUUGACCACUAGAAUGACAUGGGAAGCCCUCUAGUCCUUCCAAAUAUUAUGGCUCAGCUAAGGGUCUACUCUACAGAGAGUAUUUUGAUCCUUUAUAUCAUAUCCUUCUAAAAUAUACUUUUUAUUGGAGAGGUGAUAUCAUAUAUUUCAUGGAUGUCUCAUUUACUUGUUUUCUCCUAGGGUAUUCUUUUCUCUUUUUUCUGUGUUUGUUUGUUUGUUUUGGGUUUUGUCUUUUGUUUUUUAUGGGAGAAGGGGAGGCAAGGGUUAUUAUCAAUAAUGUUUGUAUUGGCAUCAAUGAAGAAAAAUUUUUUUUGUAUUUUCUGAUUAUAUCCUGAAGAAAAAUCACUAAAGUAGAAUCCAUGAACCAAGCAGUAUAAAAUUGAGGCCAUAAUGGUAUUACCAAUGGAAAUAGUUCAAAUGUAAAACCAAGCUACAAUUACUCUUUAGAAAUGCCAAAAUAACUGAGUCCUCAUUUUCAGAUGGUUACCUUGUUAAUUCCAUAGUAGCAUUUAUGAUGUCAUUAUUGCUAUCCUGGAGGAUAGCAGACUGCCUUGGCUCUUAAAGCAUUUUCUUGUGACAUGACCAGGUCCAUUAUGUCCUUUAUGUUCACAUCUGUUUCAUUAACUUCCUCCUCUUCUCUCUCCUCGUGUGCAAGAAGAGACCGUAUUUUUCUUGAAUGUCCCAGAUGGUUCUGCUGUGAACUUUGAGAUUCUCAACAGUUGCUGGCUGUGCUUGUUGAGAUAGGUCCUUGACCUUGGCUUCCUCCCAAGCUUUGUAGGUAUCGAAAGUUGGAUCCAUGUGGGCAGCUUGGUUCAUCAACAGUGAAAAUUAAAGAACCAGAGAGAGAGAAUCUAGCCAGGGAGGAAGUCAAUCUUUUUAAACCUACUCUUUGAAAUGAUAUCCCAUCACUUUGGUUGUAUUCUGUUUGUUAAAAGCAAGUGUGAAUCCAGCCUACCCUUUAGGCUUUUUCUUUCUUUUUGUUGAAGUAGAAUUGAUUUACAAUAUUAAUUUCAGGUACACAACAUAGUGAUUCAAUAUUUUUCAGAUUAUACUCCAUUUAAAGUUAUUAUAAAAAUAUGGUCUAUAUUCCAUGUUUGUGGGUGUGAGAUCCCACAUCCCUUGUCAUGCCCUCAGGGACCUGGCAUAUUAGGAACCUUGCAUCUUGGAAUCAUCUCCAGUCCAGGGCUCAUUCCCAAGACCUCCCAUGUCAGAGCCCUUCCUUCACAGUUCCAGAG
ensembl:lncRNA